ACCUGGCUAGCUCAGUCAGCAGAGCAUGAGACUCUUAAUCUCAGGGUCGUGGGUUCGUGCCUCACAUUGGGUG
rnacentral:tRNA from 1 species